GGUGGCUCAAUGGUAGAGUGUUUGCCUUGCAUGCAUGAGGCCCUGGGUUCGAUUCCUUAGCACCA
rnacentral:tRNA from 1 species